UGAUCAAGAUAGUGACGGAAGAAUCGAUUACGGUGAAUUUGUUGACAUGAUGAAGAAAGGAAAUGGUUGGAUCGGUAGACGAACCAUCCGAAACAGAACGAAUGUGAGCAUGAAGGAUGCAGCCGGUUCCCAUUAGUUUCCUUCCGCAAACAUCUUGUACAGAUUGUACAGCAAAGCAACAAGAAGAUGGUCAGUGUGACAAAGCUUUUAAGCGAUGGGUUCUUCAAGAGCCGUCUCAAAUAUUUUCAGAGCUCCGAACGAAAUUAAAAAUA